AUAGCUGUGGCCGUUGAUUCAUCCAUAAUACACCAAGCUGAAGAAGACAGAGACCACCUGCAUCAUUCUCCUCAGAGGUCCCAGCAACACUAU